GUUUUGUAGACUUCAACAGUGAGG
rnacentral:piRNA from 1 species